rnacentral:rRNA from 1 species
ACAUGCCUAUAGAAUAGCGACAAUGCAACAGAUUCCAUUAUAACUUCACAGCUAAGCACGCUCAGGCUAGAGUAGUACUACAAUGGAUUACCGCUUGGGAAGUCAUAGUGUUUUACAUUCU